rnacentral:rRNA from 1 species
AUGCUCCACCUCCGGCAGCGCGCCCUCUCCCAUCUCCUCUCCGCCGCACCAGCUCCUUCCACACCCCCUCUCCUCUCUCUCCACCGCCUCCUCUCCGCGGCCGCGGCCGCCAUCUCCCCGAACCCUAGAUUCGCCGUCGAGGACUACCUCGUCGGCACCUGCGGCCUCACCCGUGCCCAGGCACUCAAGGCCUCCGCCAAGCUCUCCCACCUCAAGUCCCCAUCCAAGCCCGACGCCGUCCUCGCAUUCCUCGCCGGCCUCGGCCUCUCCGGCGCUGAUGUCGCCGCCCUCGUCGCCAAGGACCCGCAGUUCCUCUGCGCCGGCGUGGAGACAACCCUGUCCCCCGUCGUCGUCGGUCUCACGGGGCUCGGUCUAUCCCCUUCUGAUAUCGCGCGCAUCGUCUCGCUCGCCCCGGGACAAUUCCGCCAUAGAUCUGUCGUCUCCAAGCUGGAGUACUACCUGCCGCUCUUGGGCUCCAUCGACAACUUGCUCCGGCCGCUCAAACACGGCUCCGGCUUCCUCGGCUCCCACCUCGAGAGGGUGGUCAAGCCCAAUGUGAAGCUCCUGGCAGAGUGCGGGCUAGGUGCUUGUGAUAUUGCCAAGCUGUUCAUUCAAAUACCGAUGAUCUUCACCGCCAGCCCAGAGCGUGCCCUGGAGAUGGUCGCGACCGCCGAACGUAUAGGUGUGCCCCGUGGCUCUGGGAUGUUUAGGCAGGCACUGCAUGCUGUCGCAUUUCUCAGCGAGGAGAAGAUUACUGCCAAAGUGGAACAGUUGAAGAAGACAUUGAGGUGGUCGGAUGCCGAUGUUGGCAUUGCUGUGUCCAAGUUGCCGACUCUUCUGAGACGGUCAAAGGAAGUGCUGCAGCUCAAGUCCGAGUUCCUCCGCUCUAAGGUGGGCUUGGAACCGGCGUACAUUGCUCAUCGACCCGCUAUGCUCACUUACAACCUGGAGGGCCGGCUCAGGCCCCGGUACUAUGUUAUGAGGUUUCUUAAGGAAAAUGGAUUGUUAAGUCACGGCAGAGACUACUAUGCUAUGGUCUCGAUCAGCGAGAAGGUAUUUGUGGAGAAGUUCAUAUGCCCUCACAAGCAAGCUGCACCACACCUUGCUGAAGACUAUGCAGCUGCUUGCACAGGACAGGUGCCUGCUACAUUCAGAUUUACAUGA